AGUGAACGCUGGCGGCAGGCCUAACACAUGCAAGUCGAGCGGCAGCGGGUCCUUCGGGAUGCCGGCGAGCGGCGGACGGGUGAGGAAUGCAUCGGAAUCUGCCCUGUCGUGGGGGAUAACCUAGGGAAACUUAGGCUAAUACCGCAUACGACCCACGGGUGAAAGCGGGGGAUCGCAAGACCUCGCGCGAUAGGAUGAGCCGAUGUCCGAUUAGCUAGUUGGCGGGGUAAAGGCCCACCAAGGCGACGAUCGGUAGCUGGUCUGAGAGGAUGAUCAGCCACACUGGGACUGAGACACGGCCCAGACUCCUACGGGAGGCAGCAGUGGGGAAUAUUGGACAAUGGGCGCAAGCCUGAUCCAGCCAUGCCGCGUGGGUGAAGAAGGCUUUCGGGUUGUAAAGCCCUUUUGUCCGGGAAGAAAUCGUCUGGGCUAAUACCCCGGGCGGAUGACGGUACCGGAAGAAUAAGCACCGGCUAACUUCGUG
rnacentral:rRNA from 1 species